GACAGACUGACUGACCGUCCGGAGGGAGCCCCUAAAACAAGGCCUGAAUGUUCCCUGACAACCCCCAGUCUGUCUUAGCUUCAAUAGAAACAGAGCGAAAGGGAACCUUCGAGUCCUCAGCUUCUCUUGCCAGAAACAAGGAAAUCGAAAACUGAAGAUGUGAGAUCCAGAUCGAGGCCCAGCCCCGCCUCCUCGGGGACCCUUGGCCCAAGCCAGGGAUGUGGGGACCCAGGGGACAGCAGCGCCCUGUCCCUGGGUCUAGCGCUGUGGGUGUCCCAGCCUUGCCUGCCCCGCGGUUCCGGCCUGCCGCAGCCACCUGCUGACCCAUUUCCGGGGAGCCGCUCUGGGCGGCUUCAGGUUUGUGCCAGGAAAUGGAAGUCCCCACCUCUGCCCAGAGGCCUCUGGGACCGUCCCCACCCCAGCCUGUGGGCCCCUGACAGCCUUCCCAGCUGCAGGAGCCGGUGAAUAGUUGAGUGGUCACGCCUGUCAUCCCAGCAUCAGGAGACUGAGCCAGGAGGAUCGCCCCAAGUCCGAGGCCAGCCUGUUACACAGGGAGUUCAAGGCCAGCCUGCACUACACAGCGAGACCCUGCGUCAAUAAACAACCAAGGUGGAAGUUCAUGGGCUGAAGACCCAGCAGCCCAAAACAAAUUCACCAACGGGUCAGUGUGGACCCCGUGGUCCUGAGAUGAUCAGAGGACUCCGGGAUCCGCCCCACCACCACCAUGAGACUCAAGUCGGCAGACGUGGGCCCUUCCCUCUGUGCACCUGGUGGCCCGCGGGGGUGACACAUGGGGCCAUCAGCUGGUGACAAAGGUGAGAGGAACUCACAGGGAGAGAAGGGAAGGCCAGGAGGGGGUCAGAGGGCCCAAGACAGCAGCAAAGAGGGUGGGGGCAGAUGCCUGAAGGAAGGGCUGCCCCAGGGUGGUGAUUCCAGGCCUGUGGGAGAAUAGCUCAGAGGAGGCCUGGAGUGGAGUGGAGAGGCCCACAGAGGGAUCUGAGGGCUGCCCAGAGCCUAAGCAGCUGAAGUGCUUAGGGUCCUUGAAACCGAACACUGCUCUACCUGCCUCAGUUCCCCACCAGCAUCCAGACCCCAGAGGACACAGGAAGCUCAAGUUUGCGGACCAGCCUGGUUUCCCCCACAUCUCCAGUGGCUGCCUAUGGCAGCCCGUUUCCACGUCACCCUCCACUGCGUCCGGUGUGCCCACUUGUGUGGCACCCCCACCCUCCCAGGGGACACUGGGGUUGCUGUGGACAUGGAGAGAGCAUCCAGGUCCUCUGUGUAAAAAUAAGCCCCCCCCCCAGGAGGGGGCGGCUGUGACGGUGCAGGCUGCGGUG
rnacentral:lncRNA from 1 species